UCAAUGGAGGGGCUGGGCUGGGGUGAUGACCGGGGAACAUUCAGGGGGUGGCACAGUGCAUAAUGGGGACGCUGCCGGGAUGGCUUAAAAAUGGGCCUCUGCCCUUGGUCACCAAGGGAAGGUGACCCCAGGGUUUUCAAGAGGCCUUUCCUGGCCAGGAUCACCACUAGCCCGCCAUGGACAAACAUGUCCGGAUGUUUUCCUCCAGACCCACAAGUAGAUGUCUCUGGUGUGAGAGGACAUCGGAAACCCUUCCUUGUCAAAGGAACGAAGGUGGCUGGAGGGACCAAGUGUUUAGUGAACACCUACUGAGUGCCAGGCACUGUCUGAUGAAUUUACCUCACCAAUUCAAAACUCCUCACAGCAGUCCUGCAGGGCAGUAAGGACUCUCACCAGUUUUCUAGGCCUGGUUGGGGAGACCCAGAGAAAUUAAGCAUGGACCUUACUGUCAUCACACAGCUAUGAAAUGACAAAACAGAAUUUAAACCCAGAUCUGUCUGCCUGCAAGCCUGUGUUCUUUUUCACUGCCUCUCAAACUGAGAUUUAAAAAAAAAACUCUGGGAGAGCUGGAGGUGAGGGCUCACCUACGAGUUGGGUCUGCUGCCUCCCACUGGGAAGGAAAUGUUUAGUGAUCAUCUACUGUGUGCCAGGAUUUGUGCCAGGCUCUCUCUGUGCUCUCAUGGCCCCUCAGCAGCCCAAGACAGGGGUCUAAGAUCACACACCAUUCCAGAUGAAAACUUGCAGCCCUGGGAAGUGACCUGACUGCCCAGGGACCCAAGGCAAACGAGCAGCAAAGCACAGGCUCGAACUCAGAGCCCAGGAGGGGUGUUCUAAGGCACUGAUGCGGGAGGACCACAGAGCCACCACCAGAACUGCUCUUCUGUCCACCUGUCUCACCAAAGGACUCAUGCAAGGCUGGGGGGUUGCAACAUUUCAUCAGAAUGGAGUCCCGUCCUCCCUAACCAUCCACAGCCACUCAGUGCUCACCCCACACCCAAAUCUCUGGCCCAUGCGUUUAAAGUCCAGGCAUUGCUUCCUUGAUGAAACGCUGGAAAGACCCUCCCCUCUGACCUUGGCGGGGCUGGAGCAGCCUUUGGUCAACUGUGAGGCUGGGCCAGGACUGUUUCCUGCUCCCUCCUACGCCCGGGAUGGGCUGCUGCAGAGGUCUCCUGGGCUCCUACUUCGCAAGACUCCCUCUGCCCUGCCUUGUCCUUAGAGUCCCCAGGUCUGAUUCCUGGCCAGAAGAAGAGGGGGCUCACUGGCCAUAGGUGGCCCCCCUCACAAGCCGGCGGGUACUCAUCCUUCCAUGGAAGGAAGGGGGCAUGGGGCCUCGUCCUGGCAGAAGGUUUUCUCACCAGUUACAGCGUGCCCAUUUGAAUAUGGUCCUGGCAGCUAGGAACCUCUGUGCCCAUAGACUCAGCCAUUUGGGGGAACAGCUGAAGUGAUCCCCAGGAGGGGAACGGUGGGGGACAUCUUGGCCCUCGAUGGAAUAUUCUGCAGCCACGAAACACAAGCACUGUGAAUGCUCAAGAGCCAUGGGGGGGGGGAGGGGGGGAGGAAUGCUUUUUAUGUAAUGCUGAGUUAGAAAAGAGAAGGCAGGAAGCAAAACUGGCUGGGGGCUCUGAUUGCAACGAACUUGGAAAAGGUGCUCAGUACUUCCGCACCGCUUAUGGAAGAAAGCUGGGACGGGAGGAAGGAACGCUGGUUUGGAGUCAGACAUUGCUGGGUUUACGUCUCAACACUGCUUCUUGCAGCCAAGGGAAGUGUCUCCACUGCCUGGAGCUUUGUUUUUCACCUCCACAGUUCUGCAGGUGAAGAUUCAUUUGGAGAAUUAGCCACAACCCCAAAUGGAGAACAUCUGGCCCAGGCCACAGCACACAGCGAGGGCACAGCCAAUGGUCCUUACGUGGAUAGGGGCCGGGCAGGGCCAAUGAAAAAUGCCGUGGGAGUUAGGGUGUGAAGGCAGGGAGAAGGGAGGGAUUUUUCUCAUCCUUGCCAAACUUUCCAUAAUGUGGCUGUGGUGUUUACUGCAGUAAUUUAAGCCAUAAACUUCAGUUUUUCCGUCGACCUCUCUGAACUAGGAUGUUCUGCAGGGCCCCUGGGGUCCAUCCACACUGACAUUUUUUCUCUUUCUUGGAGAAGCCACUUUCCCCGAGCCAAGCUAAAAGCAGACGUUGGUGUACAAUUUGGAGAUUGCUCAUUACUGUUCUUUCACCUUAAGCAUUUUCUAUUUGCAUAAAUAACACAUCCUCUUUAGACACUUUUGCAGUCUGGUCUUUUUGCCUCACGUCAGGGCGCUGGCCUCUGAGGGGGUAGAAACUGUGUUUAUCCCUCACUCCCUGAAGGAAGCUGGAUCAUUUAAUCAAGCCUAAACGAGUCUGUAAACUCCGCUGGUCACUUGGCUAGAUUUUGUCCUAACAUAUAGUUGGUUUUACAGGAAACCUCCCCUUCUGUGUCUCCCCAGCCAGCGUUCAUUUCAACCGCCAGGCCCCUCUGACGGAUUAUCUAUGUAAGGAUUCCCAAGCUGUUUUGCGAAGAAACUCUCGGAUUGAGAGACAAGGCUGGGAAAACAACAGCGAUGGCAGGGGCGAGAAAAAUAAUCACAUCACAGUGGCUUGUGGUCUUUGGUGCUCAGAAGGGCUUUUGAUCUGUGGUCCUAUUUAAUGUUUCCUGGAGUGUUUGCCAGCUGUGGGGACCUUGGGGAGAAUUCGGCCUGUGGGCACUGGAGGAAGCUGCAACCCAGAGCAGCUGAGCGGCUCGCACAAGGCUACGGCAUGCAUGGGGACGCAGGCUCUGUGGUCCCCGAGCUGCCUCUCCUGACGGUUUACACCUGGUACUUCCCUUAGCUCAUUUUUGUCUUCCAAAAAGCUCUCCAGUGGGCCCUUGCUCUUAUCCUUGUGGUUCUGGAGAUGACCCACAGUCUGGCUCUGGGUUCACCCUCCCCACUGCCUUGGGGGCCCCUCCCUGGCAGGCCGUGCUGGCCUGCUCUGCCGAAAGCCCUGCGUGGCUCCCUUUCCUUCAUGUGUCAUUCAAGGUUACGGAGGAAUUCCUAUCAAUCAAGGAAGUUUGGGCUGCAAAUAGGAGAAACCAAGCCAACCCGGCUUAUAAGCAAAAGAGGGCUCUCCUUAUCCUCCUCGGGUGGAAGUAACUGUGACAUUGUGUCCUUUAUCAGAGGUGGCCUGCCCAAACCCCUACUGAACUUCAACUUGGCAGGCCCCUCUCCCUCUUUGGGCCCAUUUCCCCACCCGUAAAAUGGGCCUCUCAGAGAUGAUUUCUGAGGUCUGCUCUAGCUCUAAGAGAGGCAACAGUUGGCAUUUAUCAGGUGCCUGGUAAGUGUCAGGCCUCUGCUGAGCAUGGGGGAAUCAAAGAUGAAAUGGAAAAGCCCCCACCCUCCAGGAUCCAGCACUGGUGUCUUCCUCUCCCUCCUUACCACCUCUCCGCCUCCCCUUUAAGUAUCCAUUAUUUGUCUUAUUUAUUGCAUAUAUUUUAUACACCCAAGGCAAGUGUAUUGAAUGGCUCAUUAAAACCUCAAAACUCCAAAUCUCUAGGACCAGAUCUGAUCCCUUCUCACCACCUUUACAGGUCCUCCCCACCUCCCGAUGUCAGCCAUCAUCAUCUCUGCCUGGAAUAAUCCAGUAGCCUUUGUCCUCCCCAGCUUCCUUGCCCGCCCCCUCGAGCAGUCCCCUCUCCACACAACAGCCUAGCAGUCUCACCUCUCUGCUCUAAACCUCCAGUAAUGUCCCUCUCCCUCGGAGUAAAUUAGUUAAGGAAGAAACAAGCAGCAACCAUGGGAUCUCCUCCCCACCUGCCACCCCCUCGCGGCUCCAGCUCUGCUCUCACUUGCUUCCACCUCCCCUGCUUGCUCACACCCUCCCAGCUGGCUUCCUUGCUGUUUCUCAGCCACGCCAGCACAUUCCCACCUCGGGGUCUUUGCACUUGUCGUUACCCCUGCCUGGAGCGCUCUUCCUGCCUGGAACGAGAUACCCUCGUGGCUCACUCCCUUCGCCUCGACUCAGAAGUCACUCAUCAAAGAGGCCCUCCGUGGAAGUGCUAAUGCUUCGUUCUUCCCUGCUUCUUUGGCUACGUUUUUCUCUGUAAUGCCUCCCACCAGGACCUUGGCUUCAUUUCUUAUACUUUCUUCUGUGGAUCUGUGGCUUCUGUUUGGAGGGGGGCCUCCAGCUUCCCAGCAUGGCUGUCUACCUCCGUGACUGGGGCGUCCCUCCCCACAGGCUUGGGGAGGGGAGCCACGGCUUGCCUGCCUCAUCAUCGCCUCUCCCUCUUCAUUUUCCCCAGUCCUCACUCCCACUAGGCUCAGCAUUAAUGAAAGCCCAGUGACGUGCCCAGAGCACAGUGAACCCUGUGGGUGGGUGUGGGACGACUAGUCCCUGCAGUGGAUUCUCGUUCCCCGGAAGGCUGUUCUUCUCCCACGUCUACAGACCAUUGUGUGCUAGGGGUUGCCUGCAAUUUAUAAGCACUUGCCAUGAAAAUUGUACUCAGCUGCUGUUGUGAAUGAGAAGCAGAGACUCGUGCAGUAAUUACCCACCCCACCAUCUCCCAGGCUUCCAGAGCCUCGCAGGAACUGCCCCUGGGAUGGAGGACAGGUGGGAGGGAUGAAGCUUCCCACCUCAAUACUAAGCCACCUGGGUCUGUGGCCAGCAACCAG